CACGAGACCGGCGGCGGGCGCCGAGCGGGGAGGAACCGGGGACCAGGAACCGGGGACCGGAGGACGGGGACCGGGACUUGGACUUGGACUUGGACUUGGACUUGGACUUGGUUUUGGAUUGGGAUUGGGAUUGGGAUUGGGAUGGAACUGGAACUGGAACUGGGAAUGAAACUGGGGAUGGAGACCAGUACUGGGAACGGAGACAGGGACUGGGGUUAGAGUUAGGGAGCAGGAACCGGAACCAGGGACAGAGACUUGGACAAAGACCGGGAGCCAGAGACAGGGUACAGGGACGAGGAACAGGCACCGGAACGGAGAAUAAGGGCCAAAUGCUGGGACUAGGGACCAGGAACGAAGUACAGGGACAGAGAUAGGGACUGGGGACCGGGUAUAAGAACUUGGAACAGGUACUGGGGACGCGGUGAGGGUGGCAAUGGCUUCUCUCGGGUUCCUACCCGGCCUGGCCCCUCAGCCCCGGGCAAGGGAGAACUCGACGGGCCUACAGUCCGGAGGCAUAACUAAUGUUUAUUAUUGAGGAAACAAUACCAACAAAUACUGUCCUUUAAUCACAGAAACUCUGAGGCUGGAAAAGACCUCCGAGGUCAUCGAGUCCAACCUGAGACUGAUCCCCACCUUGUCACCCCGGGCUGGCACUGAGUGCCACAUCACUGAGGUGAUGAGUAACCCUGAAGGGGAUGGAAGCACCCAAGGUUCAUAAAUCCUCAUGGACAAAUGACCCUCAAAAGUCAUUAUUUGUCUGCAAACAUCAGUGAAGUCCAGGGAAGCAGAAGUCACAUACAUCUUCAAGGAGAAACUUGGUGGUGCAGGACAGUGAGCCUUGACUUCAUUCCAAAGGCAAGUAACAACCUUGUCCUGCUUGCAAAAGAGAAGAGGAUAACCAGAACUUAUUGCUUGCAGUAGGUUCACCAGAUUUUGUCUACUGUUUUUCUCACUUUUUUUUUAAUUGUUUAAAAUAAAGUGUGCAGUUUCCUAUUUUUUAAA